GGAUGAUUAAUUUAUAUAUUGCACUUAUAACAACAAUAUCAAGAAGUUCAGCUCAUCUCAACUCAAAUCUCAACAAAAUGUUUGAGUUGAUCUGUUCCCCCCUUGCUCCUCCUAAAUGCUACACAUCUCAUAUGGAAAAGGGGUUAGCCUACACUAAUUGUUCUGAAUCAGCUUUUCCAACAGUUACAACUACCAAAACUUGGGGGGGUGUUUGUCAAACUUUCCGCAGUCUUUUCUUUACUUGUAUUAGUGUACAAAUAAUGCAGGGUUUAAACACCCUCCUACAUCCUAUCUCUAGUCAUUCCCUGGGUAUGCUCGUCUCCAGGUAUCCUUUCUUUUAUGCAAGUCCGCAUCAACUUUCCCAUACAAGGCAGGAGCCGAAAUUGCACAAUGGCCAUACCAACCAGGUCCCGCUUGCCCAAAUAGGAAAUCAGAAAUGUCGUCACUCUUUACAGAGUCCUUGCUACUUGCAGUGCUGCAAGAACUCGCAUCAGACCAGCUAAAAAGGGAAGCACUCUCACUUGAUGAAUGCACAGGAUGGAAUCUCCAAUCAUCUGGAUCAAGCAAAUCGUUGCCAGGAAAAUCAUCUGGCAUCGUCCAGCACGGGCAUUUGCCAUUCUUCUGUUGUACAUCUGAAUGAUCAGUGCUUGGACCAUGGGAGUAAUUCCUACCCUUUGAAGUGCUGAGGCGAGAAGGAACAGCUUCCUCUAAGUCCCUUUUCUCAGACUUCGCUCCAUGAAUCUCUACAUAGCUCUUCAAUACUGCUAGCCUUCGAGGAGAGUGCCUAAAAUUAACAGAACUAAAAUGCAACCAAACACAAAAAUAGGAUUUGCAUGGAACUCAGACAAGCAUGUACCUUGCAUAAAGUAGCAUGUAUGCCUCUUCUAAUAAGACCCUUUUCAAUUCAACCGGCAUCACUAUGCUGUCAUUAAUCCCAAACCAUUCACCAUGAGCAGUCUUUAUGUAACAGACAUAAUGACCAAUAGAAGAAGAAUCAUUCAUCCUAUCCCUGUGAAUCACCACUGCGUAAAGACUGUAGUGAGGAGAUUUAUCACUUUUUCCACACAUGUAUGGAGCCAUGUUAAGGACCUCAGGAAACCGAACUGAAGCUUCCCAAAAUUACCAGAAUGCAAAUAGAGAAUAUAGAAUAGUCAAUAUUUUAGGAUCAUACAAAGAGUAUUAUCAUAAAUUGUAUUAAAUCACCCAGGCACAGAAUUGACAUCAAAGAAUUACCUGGAAUCGUUUUAAUACAAUUGCAAGGAUAUUAGGUGCCUCUAAUACUGUCAAAUUCUUUUUAGCUGUCACAUAAGAUUCACACCUAAUUAAAAAACAAAAAAAUAAUAAUAAUUUUAAGAUGGAGAAAUUAAUUUGUGUGACUAAAACCUCAAACUGACUAAGGUUUCAUAUGGUUUGCAAUUUUUUUUAUUGGUACUUCCUACAAAUUUUGACUUUGCUCAAAAGCAAGAGUAAGAAAGUAUAUUUGGCAGAUAUCGAAUUUCACUUCAUAUGGGAAAAGAAAAAGGCGAUCGCAAUUUUUUUUUUCUUUUCAUAAAAUUUUAAAAAAUAUUAAUAAAAAACAAAGAGCAGGCAAAACAAACAGAGCCUAAUGGCUAACAGAAGGAAUGAAAUUGGACUUCAAACACUUCUAUAAUUCUUAAGCAACAAACACCCUAGCUAAUGAACCAACCUGCUGCAGUUGUACUUGUUCUCUCCAUCCAACACUUCAUCAGCUGUAAAUUGGGUAAGGGCUUCUUCAAGAGUCUCAAUGUCCCCAUCUAUCUCAACAGUUAAAUCCAUUAUCCGUUCAAAUCUCACAGAUUUUCCAAGGCACCUCAUACAAGUUAUCUGGAAAUCCCAGCCACAAUAUUACAAAUGGAAGAAUAAUAAUCGUGUUGGGUUGUUCUUCAAUGAAGUGGAUAUCAAUUAAUUAAGAACGUAAGCACUGGAGUAUCAUCAAAGACAAACAACCUUAGAUCGAAGAUAACCCACGAAAGUAAGUCCUACUAGAGUUGUUUCUUCUGCCAAUGUGCCCAGAGCUCCAGCUUCCUUGAGGCACAUAGACUGCAUUGUAUCAACAGCAUACCUGACACACCAGCAAUGAAUGCUGUCACACACAUUUGAUAAAAUAAAAAUUUUAAUGUUCCAAUAAUUGAGAAUAUAUGAACCAGCAAUAUAAUAAUGAGUUAAAUGACCAGUUCACCUCAGGAAUUCAUGGGCAUCUUCUUCUCUCCCAUUACCAAGAUAACUUCCAAAUUUUUGUAUUUUGGAUAAAAUCCUAAUUGGUGACAAAGGAGAAUCCCCUUCCCCUGCCUUCAUUAUUAAAAAUUCAAAUUCACAAAUGAAACACCACUCCUUUUGACCCGGUAAAGAAGGAAAACACCAUAAAAUCCUUCAAUCCACAAUCCCAGUAAUAAAGUAGUAAUUAAUUGUCAAGGAGUCAAGGCAACAAAUUUACAUGCAUUGGAGUGGAGUCGGCGAACAAAGUAGGAAGUUAGAGGCCGAGUAAAUGUCAAGCAUUGGAGCACUGUGUUAGCAUAACAACUGCAAAAAUUUUGAAGAAAGUUAUAUUUUACUACAAAAACUACAUAUGUCAAUAUUAAUGCAGAAAAAGGAAACCAGUAAAAGGAUGGGUUGAAGCUCCUCUUACCAAAUGAAUGAGAAAAUGACUGCAUCCAAUUUCAGAAAGGAAAAAAAAUGAAGACAUCACUAUGAUAACCUUGAAGGUUCUAAGAUAUCUAAUUGAAAUAUCAAAGUAUCAAACUACAUUCUGACUUGCUACAUGGCUUCAGCUAACAUUAUAAAAUGAAAAGGCAUGCAACAGUGUAACACACUAAAAUUUGAGCUCUUACAUUAACAUUUCUUACCAAUUCCCACAAUUUCUGAGCCCAAAUGGGCUUAGUUCUUCAUCACAAGAGUAAAGUUUCACGAACAGUUCAUAUGAAAAGAUUCUGUGUCAUAAAAUGAACAAAAUUAUUGUAAAUAAUCUUAACAGAAUAUAUGAUGAUGCACUCAGGAUAAGCACAUCAUAAUAAAUAAACGAACGCACGUCAUAUUCAUGUGUGUAGAUAAGAACCAGAAUCUCAUAACUGUGGGAUUGCUUCACUCUAAACUGCUGAACUUUUCUCCAUACAGAAUUUCUCAAGCCAUUAGAAGCAUCCCGUGAAUGAUCACCAUAAGCAUUAAAUGAAAACGAUCUGGCAUCUUUACCCUUGAGUACCCGCAAAUCAUCUUCCCCAUCAUCAGUUACAUAAUCCAUGCGUGAACUGCUUAAAGAUGUUGAGCUCUUACAGUUAGCAGAAUGUGCAACUAACAUUUCUGAUGAUGCAGCUCGUCUGAUGGACUUCUUAUGGCACAAUUUUGCAGGCUGAACAUCAUCAAUCAUGACAUUACCAUUUGGGAGUUGAGAUUUACAAUCAACGACUUCAUUAGUAUAACUGGAUUUUGUCUUAUUUAAAUUAUUGGGAGAGAAACACCAUUUACACAAGUGACUGACUUAGUAGACUUUGGGGUAGGCAAUUUGGUUUCUUGCAUUUCCUUAGAACUAACCCUAGUGUCAGGCAUAUCAGGAGCAAAAUCUUCAGAAGGUCUCUCUGGGUUGCCUGAGCCACUAUAACCAGGUUCUUUAUUGCUAGAAACAUUAGCCAAUAAUUCCCUUUCUGCAACAUGUAUUUCAGAUUGCUUUUCUGAAGAUCUCUCACAAAAUUCAGUUUCCUGUUUCAAUUGCAUUGUGGUAGUUAGGGGCCGACAUUCGUCCUUGUGACCUCAUCUCCAGUGAAUUAUUUGACACUUACCAGAACAGUAAUGAACAGAUUUACAUUGGGAGCAGCGAGAGGCUGUGGGGCAGAAGCACACAGCACAUUGAUGAGACAUGGGCAAAGAAUUGCAUGGACAAAUAGCAUCAAAAUCAGCUUGCAUGGACAAAUAGCAUCAAAAUCAGCCAUGGCAGACUCCUUGGAGACCAUAUCAACGAGCCGCCUGAUCUCCUCCUUCCUGGCCACCGCAUUGCGCCACUUAUGGUGUAUCCAAACGCAAAGAACCGAAAGAAAGAGAACGGAAAGGGUUUGGAACCCUAUAACUCCAAGGAUUAACAUGAAUCAACUAUCCAGUACCGAGAAUGAGACCAGAGCACAGAAACCCUAGAAUUGUGAAUUUGUUAUACAUGAAUCCAAAUGGCAGCAGCAGAAGAGGAGGAGGCGGCCCGUGUAGGUCGCAGGUGGGGGGUAAAAGGGGAAUUUUAGACUACUUAAGGAUUGCGGGUGAUUGGAGCAUCUAGAGGAAGGAGAAAGCAUCAAGUACGGUGAAAGAGAAAGAAAGGACGGAGGAGCUUUGGUUGGUUGGGGCCACGGGGAGGGGGAGGGGGA
rnacentral:misc_RNA from 1 species